UUUUCCGAAAGCGGGUUAGGGGCGCGCGCGAGGCGAGGGUUAGGACCAGCGCCCCCGACGCGAUCUCGGGUGUGGGCGUGGUUGGGAUCGGCGGUGUGCGGAGGAGGGAGGGAGGGAGCUGUCGCGGCGUGGAGGAGGGAGGAAGGACGAGCAGGCCUAUCGGCGGCCGGCGGCGUAGGGAAGAGGGGGAAGGAGGAGGUAGGAGGAAGGGCGACCGCGGCUGCUCCCCCCGAGAACGUACCUACCGGCCCAGAAGUUUGGCCCCCAUCUCUUCGUCCCCUCCCUGUUCUUCGGGCGCCACCCCCACCUCGCCGGCCCCCCCGUUCUUCGGCCGCCACCCCCACCUCGUCGGUCCUCCCGGUUCUUCGAUCGCCACCCCAAUCUCCUCGUCCCCUCCCGGUUCUUUCGGCCGGCCGCCGCCGGCCCCGCCCGCGCCUCUCCCGGAUACGUCGCCGGCGCCCGCCCCGCCGCCGCCGGUCCCGGUCCCUCCUGCUCCAACGUAGGUAGUUGCUCUUCGCCGGCUAGGUGGACGCACGGCAGUGACGACCCUAUCGCUUCCAGUCGCUUUUUCCAGUAGCACUCCCGUGUGGCGGCAGAGGGAGAGGGGACCACCGUGGAGGGAUACAUGGUAACUAACACGGAGUCGAAGCAUCGGCUAGAAGAUAGCAGGUACCGUAGUUGUGUGUUUAACUAUUACCUUUGGAGUCCAAAGAAGUCGUCGGACCCCAACAAUUCUUCUCCCAGCCCUAACGGGACCCGUCUACGAAUUUAAGGACCUACAUUUGCGUGUGAACGUAGGAUGUGUCCGGUUUUAUGAUAACCUCGAACGAACACCUUUUUGACCAAGAGCAAGUCAAUACGUACAGUCAGACUAUCUUCUACCUGUGGGGAGAAGUUCAACCAAAUACCCGAACGCCUCACACUCUUUGGGAACUAUGCGGAGGUAGGAAGCAGGGAACGAGGCACCUGGCCUACAGCUCCCUCCCGUUCUCCGCCACUAUACGUCCCCACUCCCUCUACCUCCGCCACUGGACGUCGAGGAUAACUUCCCGUCUCUUCUCCCCCACGAGCACACCUUCUUGCUAGAGUCUUUCUUCUAAAUUGGCUUCUUAGGUUAUCUUCUAAACCACUUCUUGUUCCACUGGUUGAGAGAGAGCACACUUACAAGCAGAGAGAAAACAUCUUUUAACCAAUUUCUCGGGUACAAUAAAAAGAACCGAAUAUAAGUCUUCUAAAAUAAAGACAUGCGGAUGUUCCACAAGCUGCUUUUAGGGUCUUCCGACCGUCCCCUUCUUACUAGAUACAUAUUCCCCUCAACGUAGGGACCAUCUCCACUUCUAGUUCCUCCAGCCGUUUACCCUACUCCAACCCACUACAAGUGAUUCCUCCUUUUUCCACGUACAGGGCCAAAAAAACCACUACCGUUGCCGUAUAAAGGAAGUCACUUCCUUCCUUAAGAGACGGCCUUCGAACCGUGUCCAUACAGACUCGCAGAAUAAACAAUCACAACGAUCGAGACCCUUUACGCACGGCUCACCAACAACCGAACAACGUACAUACAAUAACGAUGUAAUUAAUUAAUUAAAAUCCACUCUCUUUUCCAAAAAACAAAGGAUGCAGCAACAAAGUCAAUCAUCACUUAUAACUACUACGGGUACUUUUUAAAGUUCUGUAGCGACUUGACAUAGAGCAGUAAACUGUUGAAACUAAAGACUAAUCGCACAGCUAGGGGUGGUUAUAAAUACAGUUUUUCCUUUAAUCAACAUUAAACUCUGAAUGAUGUGGUUUUAAUAAGAAAAUUUGUUCCCAUAAUCACGCACCUACCGUCUAGUCCUAGUCGGAGUAUUUUUAGAAUAUAAGGGACUCCUCCAAGAUGGUGCACCUUUGCGAGUCAAAGUACCGUACUAUCAUAGAUUUGUCUUGCUGGAAAAUCAAACAUCUAUUGUUUUGUAUCUCAAUCUACUUUCUGUAUAUACUAAGUGAACAGUGACUUCUCUUUAUUAGUGUAGACCUGUUCGUGGAGUUUUACAGAAAAACAUGUUACGGAGUUUCUUGGUGACCGAUGACUUUCUAUGUGUAUAACCAAAGUCUCAAAAUAAGAAGCACAAGACUUACUCGACUGUCCCUUCUUUAGAACCAAAGUUUCAAGAGAGACAGUCACCGAUCGACUCAGACCAGAUGAAAAGAUUGAAACGAUAGACCGUCUAUAUCGAUAAACUAAAAGGAUAAGUUAAUCCUUCAGAAAACUCCUCCAACUUUACUCAAUAUAAAAACCGUACUAACUACCGAUAAACAUAUAACUCAGUACAAUUACCACAAGAAAUAAACAAGUACCCAGUAUAACAAACAAAUCAGAAUACCAAAUCCGCAAACAGGACUAUCAAAACUAUACACAUAUGUCAGUAAAACCUUAUCCCAUACUAAGAAAAACCCAAAAAGUAAGAUGCGUAACCAAGAUUCUUAGAACUAUAGGUCGACACAACAACAUCUAAACAUUUAAAAGCGAACCCUAGGUAGUUAAGUCAGUACAACCUCAUCCGAUAUACUAAAAAAAUCAAGACUGGUGUAUAGGAAGAACAAAGUCAGACAUGCUAUAGCUUCUGACAACUAGAAACCAGACAAGUGGUACCAAAGGAGGGAAGGAACAAAGACAAUACGAGAACACUACGAGACGUAGACACGAUUAGGUGUGUUGAACGACCAGAGGUUGAAUAAAAAAAAGAGUGGGAGAUGUAAACACAUACAUCAAUACGUACGGGUGAAUUUUUACUUGCUCCGAUUCGACGUCGACGUCGACGUCCAUAUAGAGGAAUUUUAUGGGUACCACAGUCUGCACAAAAUAAGGUGAUGUUGGUUCUUCUAUUUGCACCGUCGACUCGGAUAUCAAGGACGACUCCUUGUAGGGUUCCAACUAUCACUGUGACGUCUACCUCGAAGAGAUUGGCGAUAACUUCUGUGGCAACAAGUAAAAUUGGUCGGUUUCUGUUUUCGCGAUAAUACAUCCGUACGAAAUUUUUGAUCUCAGAAACAGACCAGCUCCUCGGAACGGUUUCGCAAUCACCUUAGAGAGGCUCACCAUACUUCGUAUAAGAUACAUGCAUAGUGGGUCUUCGUCUACUAUUAGUAUAUCUUCGCCUCUUAAUCGGAACGGUUUUACAAACAGUUUAGAAACGAGCUCAUCGGAACGGUUUGAGAUACACAACACAAGAAAUGUACAAAAGUAAAUGUAAGAGGCCACAUUUUAAAGGAAAAGUCAGUUUGUUUUAAAAGAAACGCUAAAAAAACUUGUAUUCAAAAGUAAGUACUUCAAGUGAAUAUCUGCGAGUGAUCCGAACCAAAGUCAACUACUAUCUGCGGGACAAGACCCGAGAGGACUUAAUCGUUUACUACACCACCACUAAGUGAGUGGGGUUAUAGACGGUCGAGAUUAGUCCAGCUACAUUCUAGGAUGGCUACGUUAUACCUUCCCUUCUUCUGCCUCGGUAUUUGUUUUUACUGAACCAUAUAUAGUAUAAAAGGAACUAUCGGGG
rnacentral:rRNA from 1 species